rnacentral:rRNA from 1 species
AGGGUUCGAUCCUGGCUCAGGAUGAACGCUGGCGGCGUGCUUAACACAUGCAAGUCGAGCGAAGCGGCUGAAUUGAUUCUUCGGAUGAUUUUCAGUUGACUGAGCGGCGGACGGGUGAGUAACGCGUGGGUGACCUGCCCCAUACCGGGGGAUAACAGCUGGAAACGGCUGCUAAUACCGCAUAAGCGCAUAGAGCUGCAUGGCUCGGUGUGAAAAACUCCGGUGGUAUGGGAUGGGCCCGCGUCUGAUUAGGCAGUUGGCGGGGUAACGGCCCACCAAACCGACGAUCAGUAGCCGGCCUGAGAGGGCGACCGGCCACAUUGGGACUGAGACACGGCCCAA